UGACUUAGCAUGCCUUCACAAAACUCUAAUCACAUUUUAAAAAAAAAGAAAGAAAAAGAAAUAGUCAUUGCUAAGGAGAAGCAAGUGCUGGAGAUGUGAUAUUUGCAGACUAAUGAGUUGCUAAAGAGUCAAAAUUGCUGAAGCGUCAAAUCUAAUUAUAAUGGAGAAGAAAUCUAUGCCUUAGUUCCUUGAAUCUGGGCUUGUCUGUGACUUGCUUUGACAAAGACAAUCUAACAGAAGUAAUGUGGAUAUUCUCAACUCUGGAUCAAAGACAUCUUGCAGCUGCUGUUCUUGCUUGAAAACAAGCAUAAGCCAGCUUGUCAAAUAAUGAGAAACAUGUGGUCCAGUUGCUUCUGUCAUCCCCACUUCCAAUCAGCCAACCCCUAGAAGAGGAGCUGGCUAACCUGGUUCCUGUUGUUCAACAUCAAUAAACUCAUUGAUUGAAUCCAUGCAAUUUUAAAGACUGCCACACAGCCAAGGCCAAGACUACAACUGCAGGGAAUGUCUUUGAGAAAUUGAGAUCAAACAUUGAAAACUUGCACUUUUAAGUGUAGAUUCAUUUACUUUUUUAUGUCUCUUUAGGCAAGCACAGCAGUUGACAGUCACACAACUGCAAUGCUCUUAGAGUUGCUGUUAUUUGUUAAGAAGUAUUUACCAAU